GGAAUUUAACUGGAAGCUGGAAGACCAGGGAGCUGGGGAGAGGGGAAGGCUGCAUUCCACACAGGCCACUUCCUGGGCCCAGAGUGGGGUCUAUAAUCAGCAUAAGAGGACAGAAUAACAAGCCCGUGGGGGUCAGGCAGAGCUAAAGAAAUGAGCAAGGCUUUGCUCACUCCUUUCUGUCGGUUUGCAAAGAGGCAGCCAGAGGAGGUGAAAGAAAAGGCCCCGGGAAACACACUUAGCUGUUCCCGUCACUGGAAACAAAAGGCUCAUCGCUUCUGUUUGCCUAUUUCGGUCUUCACAGCAUGAAUGAUUUAAAACUCUUUAAGAGCUGGGUUUCAUUUCACUGACUUAUUUUUAUCACAUUUGAUUGACUGCCACCCUUAGAGGCAUUUCUUCUCUAGGCCCUUAUAUG
rnacentral:lncRNA from 1 species